ACUAAAAAUCCAAUAUAAUUUUAAUUUAGCCUGAAAAAUGUAUAAAUUCCAGACAAAAUUUGUGGUGUGCACUAAGUUAUGCGUAAAAAAGAAAUUUUCAUAUUUUUAACGCCACUGUUAUCAAGUUUAUGCCUCCCAAACAUAAAUAUUAGCCAUUGAUCGUUUGAAAAUCGGAUUCCCGAAGCCUCCCAGUCUAUCAGUAAAUUGUCGCCACCAUCAAAGUAUGAUUUACAAUCGAUUUAUUAUCAAAACAUCAGAUCACGUUUAUGCAUAGAGCGGUGUGCAACAAGUCCUAUUGCAGUAGUAGUUAAAUACUAACCACUAUUCACUAGAUAUUUUCAGAUCAAAUUACAAAAAUAUCUGUUGUUAGACAGUUUAAGUGUACUUCAUAGUAAACUAGUGAUCAAUAUUUUAACUGAACAAUAUGGAACAUUUAA